rnacentral:rRNA from 1 species
GACGAACGCUGGCGGCGUGCUUAACACAUGCAAGUCGAACGGUGAAGCGCCUUCCUUUUUGGUGGGUGUGGAUGAGUGGCGAACGGGUGAGUAACACGUGAGUAACCUGCCCCCUUCUUCUGGAUAACCGCAUGAAAGUGUGGCUAAUACGGGAUAUUCUGGGUCUGUCGCAUGAUGGGUCUGGGAAAGAUAUUGUUUCGGUGGGGGAUGGGCUCGCGGCCUAUCAGCUUGUUGGUGGGGUGAUGGCCUACCAAGGCGGCGACGGGUAGCCGGCCUGAGAGGGUCGGCGGUCACACUAGGAAGGAGACGCGGCCAAGACUCAUGCGGGAGGCAGCAGUGGGGAUUAUUGCACAAUGGGCGGAAGGCUGAUGCAGCGGCGCCGCAUGAGGGAUGGAGGCCUUCGGGUUGUGAACCUCUUUCGCCAGUGAAGCAGGGCUGACGCGUCUGUGGGUGGGUUGACGGUAGCUGAAUAGAAAGCGCCGGCUAACUACGUG